UGAUGAAUCUAAGAGAAAUUUAACACAAGCA
rnacentral:piRNA from 1 species